GCUUUAGUGGUGUAACGGCAGCACACUUGGCUCGUAUUUGAGAGGUCCAGGUUCGAAUCCCGGUGAGGGCA
rnacentral:tRNA from 1 species